GGUUCCACACGUACCCAUCCCGAACACGACCGUUAAGCCCUCCAGCGCCGAUGGUACUUGGACCGAAGGGUCCUGGGAGAGUAGGACGCCGCCAAGC
rnacentral:rRNA from 1 species